UACGAAGGGGGCUAGCGUUGCUCGGAAUCACUGGGCGUAAAGGGUGCGUAGGCGGGUCUUUAAGUCAGGGGUGAAAUCCUGGAGCUCAACUCCAGAACUGCCUUUGAUACUGAGGAUCUUGAGUUCGGGAGAGGUGAGUGGAACUGCGAGUGUAGAGGUGAAAUUCGUAGAUAUUCGCAAAGAACACCAGUGGCGAAGGCGGCUCACUGGCCCGAUACUGACGCUGAGGCACGGAAAGCGUGGGGAGCAACAGGGAUUAAGAAACC
rnacentral:rRNA from 1 species